CCUACGGGAGGCUGCAGUGAGGAAUAUUGGUCAAUGGGCGCGAGCCUGAACCAGCCAAGUAGCGUGAAGGAGGACGGCCCUACGGGUUGUAAACCUCUUUUGCAGGGGAGCACCGGGCGCCAAGUGUGGAGUCACUGAGAGUACCCGGAGAAAAAGCAUCGGCUAACUCCGUGCCAGCGGGCGCGGUAAUACGGGGGAUGGGAGCGUUCGCCGGAUUUAUUGGGGUUAAGAGGUGCGUUGGUGGAUCGUUAAGUCAGUGGUCAAAUUGAGGGGCUCAACCCCUUCCCGCCAUUGAAACUGGCGUUCUUGAGUGGAAGAGAGGUAUGCGGAAUGCGUGGUGUAGCGGUGAAAUGCAUAGAUAUCACGCAGAACCCCGAUUGCGAAGGCAGCAUGCCGGCUUCCGACUGACGCUGAAGCACGAAAGCGUGGGGAGCGAACAGGAUUAGAUACCCUUGUAGUC
rnacentral:rRNA from 1 species